ACUGGAUUCACUGCAUUCUGUCAGUGUGACUGGGACGUGUGUGAUAUUGCAUUUACCAUCAUGGACCAGAACUGAGAUGGAUUCAUUGACAAGAAUGACCUGAGGGACACGUUUGCAGCUCUAGUGUCUCUCCAGUGUGACUGAGAUGUUGACCACACAAGCCGAACGCUUCUCUGCUGAGGAGAUGGUGCAGAUGUUCACCGCAUUCCCACCACAUGCUACGGGAAACCUGGACUACCGCAAUCUGGUCCACAUCAUCAGACACGGAGAGGAGAAGGACCAGGAGUAGAUCACACGCUCCUCAGCCAAUCACAGCGCUCCCUGCGUGUCUGUACCCGCCCACUUAUUUACAACUGACAGGCUUGCUGUUGCUGAAACGAGAAUGUUCAGAUUUUGUUAAUGUAUGAUGAUGUUGUGUGGAUUUUUGCACCUGCUACCCGUCAAAGUGUACUUUUAAAAUACAUUUAUAUGAAAAACUGAUUUGAGUGCAAAUUAUUUUCUUUAGAGACAAGGAAUGCAAUGCAAUCCAGUGAUGUUCAAGAGACGAACAAAUAAACAAUGCAAGAACGUGUGCAUAUGAGGGAUGUAGAAAGUAUGUUAAUAUGGAACAAGAAAGAGCCAUAGUUACAGAGGUUUAAUUUCUGUCAUAACAUCAGUGAAUAUUAUGAUUCAGUAAGGCACUGAAGUUUUCUGUC